rnacentral:tRNA from 1 species
GUAGAGUCGUUUGGUAACUAGAAAAGCGCAUAACCUUGGGGUUAUGGGUUCGAU